CACGUAGGGACCAAGCGUUGUCCGGAUUCAUUGGGCGUAAAGAGCUCGUAGGCGGCUCAGUAAGUCGGGUGUGAAAUCUCCAGGCUCAACCUGGAGACGCCACCCGAUACUGCUGUGGCUAGAGUCCAGUAGGGGAGCGUGGAAUUUCUGGUGUAGCGGUGAAAUGCGCAGAUAUCAGGAGGAACACCAGCGGCGAAGGCGGCGCUCUGGGCUGGCACUGACGCUGAGGAGCGAAAGCGUGGGGAGCGAACAGG
rnacentral:rRNA from 1 species